CGUCAAGGCUCUAACACACACAUGCACUAUGUGCAAGACUCAGAUGCCGGAUCCGAAAACCUACAAGCAGCACUUCAAAAACAAGCAUCCCAAAAAUGACCUGCCGGAGGACCUGUUGAGCGUCUAAAAUACCAGGGGGUUCCUCCUGAACCAGCCAUGGCGGUGGCAGCCUGAAAGUGUGUGUGUGUGUGUGUGUGCCGAAGACUGCCUUUGUGGACUUGCUGCUGCUUUUUUACACAUCAACAAUCCCACCCCCC